AGAGUUUGAUCCUGGCUCAGGGUUAACGCUGGCGGCGUGCCUUAUACAUGCAAGUCGAGCGAGGGCUCAUUUCCCGCAAGGGAGGUGGGUUCCUAGCGGCGAACGGGUGAGUAGCACGUGGGCAACCUGUCCUCUCGUGGGGGAUAACACCGAGAAAUCGGUGCUAAUACCGCAUGUCAUCGCUGGAGGCAUCUUCGGCG
rnacentral:rRNA from 1 species